AGAAUUUCACAGUCUUUUGGUAGCAGUCGUGCAGUUCGUUUCGAUCCGGAGUUUUGUGAAAAGUGUUAAAAGUGAGAUAAUUUGGUUGCAGUGAGAGCAGAAGAGAACCAAGUCGAAAAUAUGCUCUUAAAAAGAUGUGCCUGGCUACAACUAUUUUGCAGCCUUCCAAUUGAGUCCGAUGAACACAAUAUUGGGCAUGGGCUACUGGUCACGACUGCCAUGUGAUGAUAUAGCUGAAACUUGCUCAUUGCACCGUUUUGGAGCAAGACGGAAGAAAACUGAAGCAAUUUCUUAAAUUAGCGAAAUAGAUCCCACAAGUAUGUAUACGCUGUGGUAGAUAAUACGAGGUCAACAAUACGUUUGAACUUCUGAGUAAGUUGGUGUUAAGCACAAAUGAAGCACAAUUAUAUGGUCGUGCAAGGCUCUGAAGCAACUCAUUGUCAUCAUACAUUGAUGCAGAUGCAGUAAAUAUUCAGUAAUGUCUGUCGACCUCAGUUAAACUUUUACACAAGUAUAUUUGUUUGUCAUCGUUCACAUCACUAAGCCAAACAAAAACAACACAUUGCCAAUCUAAAGAGCUGUUUUACACGGUACUUAUAAUAUUGGCAAAAUAUAUUGAUUUAAUAUUUCAGAGAUACGAACACAGUCGAAUGUCCCUGUGCGUAUUAUAAUUUAUUUUUUUUUACAAACUAAUAUAAUCAACUAAUAUAUCAACGAUAAUGCAUUGCUUAACAUAAAAAAAUUAAGAAGCUGUUGGAUUUCAACGCAUAUAUUGUUCCUGUCACAUACAACUGGAUCACAUAUUUUAUAUAAACUAUUAAAGUCAUCUAAACUACUAAAUUAUCUUCAAAAUGUCAAUCAAAUAUUCUAAGCUUCAUAGGAAGUACAAAUUCUGUGAAGGAGAAGUUCUACAUUUGACGAAAUUUCGUUAAUUUUACUACUCAGUUUUUUCGAGUAAAGCCGUAUGGUUCGAUCCUGUAUAGUUCUUUAAAACAAAGUUCCUUUUUCUAUCUGAAUUUAUGCGAAAACAGAAAUAAUAGAAGGUAAUUACAAAUGAAUACAUGCUUGAAAUCGUUUGUCUAGUUCUAGCAAUGAAACGAAAAGUCAAUUCUGUGGAUAAAAAAAA